rnacentral:rRNA from 1 species
GAGUCCUACGGGACGCAGCAGUGAGGAAUAUUGGUCAAUGGGCUUACGCCUGAACCAGCCAAGUCGCGUGAGGGAAGACUGCCCUAUGGGUUGUAAACCUCUUUUGUCAGGGAGCAAUUGGCGCUACGUGUAGCGUUAUCGAGAGUACCUGAAGAAAAAGCAUCGGCUAACUCCGUGCCAGCAGCCGCGGUAAUACGGAGGAUCCGAGCGUUAUCCGGAUUCAUUGGGUUUAAAGGGUGCGUAGGUUGUUUUAUAAGUUAGCGGUGAAAUACCGAUGCUCAACAUCGGGGCUGCCGCUAAUACUG